CAACAACUGCUUCGAGAAAACACAGCACUACUACAUGCAACCAGACAGGAAAUAGACCAAAAAGCACGUUUUCAAAUCAAAAAACAAAUCUGAAGACUAUCAAAAAUGUAGAUGAAGAAGGAAGGCCAGAAAAUCCGUGAAUGGAUGUUGUGACACUGAGAACUUCAAUGUCCAAAAUUACUGAGCAUCCCAUUCCUUUUAUCAAGCCACCUAGGUAGAUUCUUGAAUCCACCUCCUGGAAAGGAGGCAUAAACCUGCUGCCUGAGCUGUCUUAAGAGCUUGAUCAAGCAGUGAGGUAAGUGCCUUUUACUACAUGGAAACUACAAGGUCAGAAGGGGAAAAAGUACUGAC
rnacentral:lncRNA from 1 species